GACCGAGUGCGCGAGCGGACAUGACGUGUGGCUGUCGUAAAAACCCUAUUUGUAAACAACCAGUCCUUUUAACUCGGGGCUGCGUCAUAAACACGGCGCGCUUGGAAGACCACGAUGUCAUCUUCCUUCUGUCAGGAGGAUCCAAGUGAAGCUACAGGAGUUUCAUUAACGUCAACAACUUGGACCAAACAGUUUGUUUUGCUUGAUGAAGAGCAGGAAGGGCAGCCUGGAGAGAAAGAGAAGCCGGGUUGAGCCCACUACCAUCAUCCACGUACCACGAGGAAGAUGAGGGAGAGAAAUGAUCCUACCAUUAAAGAGACUGUGAAAAGAACGUUGAGAACAUCACCACUCUACAGGAAGACACAGUCCAGUAAUGGGUGUCAGAAGUUCAGUAGUGAACGACAGGUACUGUGGAAAAAUAUGUGUCAUUGUUGUACAAUGUCCUUUGACUCUGUUUAAACAAGGUUAACACAAAAAGGUUUGAUUGUAAACUGAUAUCGGUAUGAAUUCAUGUUAUUCUCCUCGUCAAAAGAAACAAACAAUCCAAAUUACCUGCAGAAAGCCCUUGAUGGACGCUUCAGCUGCAUCGUCAGACUGGCAGUACUGAUGCAUUUACUGAGAGGGGACGUGAGGGCCUACUCUGCGUGCUCAGAGUUCAAGCCCAGCAGGCUGCAGCGGUCCUGACAUAUUCUGGAACAGCAGCACAGUCUUUGGAUGACUCCUCUGAAGAUGAAAACAUGGCGAGUUCUUCUCAAGAGAAGCAGUACAGGUGUGCCUCAGCUCCACGGUCCCUCCUGCAGCCUCCGCUCCUGAUGCUAACCUCAUGUCUCCAUCACACCAAGCAGCAGACCUGGAUUGACAGACCUUUCUCCAGAGCUGCCCCCUCCCUCUGAAACCCCCCUCUCCAAAACACUAUUUGUGUAGUUUUUAAAGUAUUUUUUGCAUGAGAAUUGUUGAUCAUAACAUUUCCAGCAGAUGCCUUAAUAUA